rnacentral:rRNA from 1 species
GGGUUGUGAGGUUAAGCGACUAAGCGUACACGGUGGAUGCCCUGGCAGUCAGAGGCGAUGAAGGACGUGCUAAUCUGCGAUAAGCGUCGGUAAGGUGAUAUGAACCGUUAUAACCGGCGAUUUCCGAAUGGGGAAACCCAGUGUGAUUCGUCACACUAUCAUUAACUGAAUCCAUAGGUUAAUGAGGCGAACCGGGGGAACUGAAACAUCUAAGUACCCCGAGGAAAAGAAAUCAACCGAGAUUCCCCCAGUAGCGGCGAGCGAACGGGGAGGAGCCCAGAGCCUGAAUCAGUGUGUGUGUUAGUGGAAGCGUCUGGAAAGGCGCGCGAUACAGGGUGACAGCCCCGUACACAAAAAUGCACAUACUGUGAGCUCGAUGAGUAGGGCGGGACACGUGGUAUCCUGUCUGAAUAUGGGGGGACCAUCCUCCAAGGCUAAAUACUCCUGACUGACCGAUAGUGAACCAGUACCGUGAGGGAAAGGCGAAAAGAACCCCGGCGAGGGGAGUGAAAAAGAACCUGAAACCGUGUACGUACAAGCAGUGGGAGCACGCUUCGGCGUGUGACUGCGUACCUUUUGUAUAAUGGGUCAGCGACUUAUAUUCUGUAGCAAGGUUAACCGAAUAGGGGAGCCGAAGGGAAACCGAGUCUUAACUGGGCGUUAAGUUGCAGGGUAUAGACCCGAAACC